rnacentral:lncRNA from 1 species
UCGAAUUUGAGGGUUUUUUGGCAUCAAAAAAAAAAAAAUUCUAAUAAGUUUUGGCAGAGAGAGAAGUGGUAGCAAGGAUGUUAAGGUUUGCUAGGGUUUUGAAGCAAGGGUGAAUCAACCACCACCAUAGUCGCUGGGUCUCCAGCCACCGCCAUCGUUGCCAGGUCUCCAGCGACCACCACCACCACCAAGCCAAUGCCUUCGCCACCGCGCUUCCCCAACCGCUGUGACCAGUGAGCCUAACCCUCUUCCCUCUCUCUUGUCCUCGCUAUAUUUUUUUGUAUUUUCUUUUUAGCUUCUACCAUGUCCCUCUUAGUUGUUUUUUUUCUCCUUAUUCGUUUUGGUCUUCUCUUUUUUUUUUUUCUCCUCUCCCUCGGCCUCUCACCUCCUUUAGCUCUUAGUUUUUUUUUUUUUGGUUAUUGUUUUCUUUUUAGCAUUGUUUUUCUCCUUUUUUUUUUUUCUCCUCUCCUCUCCCUCUGCCUUUUACCUCCUUUAGCUCUGAGGUUUUUUUUUUUUUGUAAUUGUUUUCCUUUUAGUAUUUUAGUUCCCUAUCCUCACUUAUCUUCAUCAGCCUCCUCCUCUUUUUUCUAGAGAGAGAGCGGCCCCUAGGUUGGGGAAGACGGGGGUUUCUCUCCCCUCUCCUCCCCCCUCCCUUUGUGCGCAUCCUCUUCAAACCCUUUCGCCCUCCAUCCUGUAUCGCUGCCCACCAUUCCCUUUCAUCUGUGAACUAUUCCAACGCUUUUGGCCUUCACUAUCUUCUCCGACUCGGAAAUCUCCAUGCUUGGGUUAGCCCCUAAAACAUGGAUACCUUCCUUGGGGGCCAGUCACCUUGUUGUCAGACCUCGAGCGGGCUUGGAGGUCCAUUGUAUCUUUGCCCGAGGCUUACGCCCUGCCAUAGAUAGGGGAUGGUCAAUUUCUUGACCUUGGUGAACUGUGACAUAUUACAAUCGUUUGGAGAUUCUAAUGAAUUUGGUCUCUUCUUUUACUACGCUUUAGUUUUGCUCUCAGUUCUCUUGUAGCUAUUCUCCAUAUUCAUUUCUCUUUGGUUUUUCUACUCUUUCUACAACUUUCUUACCCCUUUUAUAUCCAAUAUUUUUUUUUUUUUUGGCCGAUGGUGUGGCCCAACACCUAUAGUUGCGCUGCCAAGUUUCGAUUGAUCUUCUUAUGGGCACCACCAAUCCUGUGCAGGUUGGCGCUUUCUUCCAACCCUGGUUAUUGAUAGAUAGGAUGCUCAUUAUCAAGGGUGGGUUUGGAUCUCUGCUUUGGUUUGACUGGGAUGCCGAGAAAACUAUUGGUUGCUAGUGAUUUUGUGUCGGUGUUAAAGUGUUGUAUGUAUUUUGUUGGUUUAGGAUAGGUCCCUUUAAGGAGUAGAGAUCUCUAUAUUUCUUUGUCCCUUCUUUCAAUUGUAAUGUUGAGCCUUGCUGUUUAUAUUAAUGAAAAUAACAAUUAAUGUUUAAAAAAAAAAAAUUUGUUGAGGUGGGGAUUAAAUUGAUUGUUGAGAGCCUCAACCUUAUAUAAAUUUUUUCUAAAAAAAACAAUUUGUUGAGGUGGAGAAUAAAUUGAUUGU